AGUGAACGCUGGCGGUAGGCCUAACACAUGCAAGUCGAACGGCAGCACAGUAAGAGCUUGCUCUUACGGGUGGCGAGUGGCGGACGGGUGAGGAAUACAUCGGAAUCUACUUUUUCGUGGGGGAUAACGUAGGGAAACUUACGCUAAUACCGCAUACGACCUACUGGUGAAAGCAGGGGAUCUUCGGACCUUGUGCGUUUGAAUGAGCCGAUGUCGGAUUAGCUAGUUGGCGGGGUAAAGGCCCACCAAGGCGACGAGCCGUAGCUGGUCUGAGAGGAUGAUCGGCCACACUGGAACGUGGACACGGACCAGACUCCUACGGGAGGCAGCAGUGGGGAAUAUUGGACAAUGGGCGCAAGCCUGAUCCAGCCAUACCGCGUGUGUGAAGAAGGCCUUCGGGUUGUAAAGCCCUUUUGUUGGGAAAGAAAAGCAGCAGGUUAAUACCCCGCUGUUCUGACGGUACCCAAAGAAUAAGCACCGGCUAACUUCGUG
rnacentral:rRNA from 1 species